ACGAAUGUAAGACCUAGACUGUAACAACUGGAAAACAUGCGACAGUUUUUUUUUUGUUUUCUGCCACUGUUGAUGAUGUUGCAUUUGGCUGGAAAUUUAAUCAAAUUUCGUUCAACAUUUCCUCUUUCCGAUGUACGAUUUUCGACCUUCGACAAUGUUAACAAACCAUGUCAACAUGCGACAAAUUUGCAACCGUUUGAUUUUGUUCCGAACGAGGUGUCAGUUGACCGAGACGACAGAGAAAAAUUAUCAGAUCAUUGUCGGUAGUGCGUUGGUUGACAAUGUCGAAGUACCAACCUUUUCUGUUGUGCCUAUUUUGUCUGACCGAAGCCGGAGUUAGCACAUUGAACUAAAAUACGAAAUUUCACCAUUUUCUGAACGACUGUCCUUCCAGCAAGUCGCUCGAUUCACCGACUUCUAUGUAGAAUCGAUUAACAUCCUAAAUAAAACGUCUACAACUCCGUUUAAUAUUACCAAAGCCACGUUGAAACGAAGCGGACGUGAUCAUCCGAAACUGUUUUUUGAAUUCUAUGUAACUGAGACGCUCAGAAACAUUGAGAUUGAAGGGAAAAUUUUCUGGAGUCCUAUGGGGAACCGACGCUUUAUGUUGGUGCCGUACAAGCUCGCUCGUCAAUCAUUUUGCGGAGCAUUCAAACACAGCAACGGUCUCACGGAGGGAAUGUUGCGAGAUUUACAAAACUAUUCGAAUAUACCGUACACGGACGAUCGGAACGUUGAAUUUUGUGAUUUGAUGCCAUUGGGAUAUUAUUUUGUGCGAAACUAUUCAGUGGAUCCAUCUAUAUUGCCUAGCGUCACGCCACCGGGGAGAUUUCGACUCGCACUCGUUUAUUACCGAAAAUUUGAGAGCAAAGUCCUUCAAAGAAUCGAAUUUCAGUCAGUUUUCACCUAAUGAAAGUCGCUGUAGAAGUCGAAUUGUUGUUAAGUCAAGAUGUUGUCAAGUAAUGAAAAUGAUGAAAAUGUUCAGUUGAGUGUCGAUAAAAUACAAAAAGAGUUUGAGUGAUGA